UACGUAGGGUCCGAGCGUUGUCCGGAAUUACUGGGCGUAAAGAGCUCGUAGGUGGUUUGUCGCGUUGUCCGUGAAAACUCACAGCUCAACUGUGGGCGUGCGGGCGAUACGGGCAGACUGGAGUACUGCAGGGGAGACUGGAAUUCCUGGUGUAGCGGUGGAAUGCGCAGAUAUCAGGAGGAACACCGGUGGCGAAGGCGGGUCUCUGGGCCGAGUACUGACGCUGAGGAGCGAAAGCGUGGGGAGCAACAGG
rnacentral:rRNA from 1 species